GGAAGCGUAUUGCCACCGGUGUGGUACUUGGUCUUCAAAACCAGUGUCAGGCUGAGAGGUCUGAGGUAGGUUCGACUCCUAUACGCUUCC
rnacentral:tRNA from 23 species